rnacentral:tRNA from 1 species
GGGGUUGUGGCUCAGUGGCAGAGUGCUCGCCUAGCACGUGUGAGGCCCUGGGUUCAAUCCUCAGCAAUACUU